rnacentral:rRNA from 1 species
GAUGAACGCUGGCGGCGUGCCUAAUACAUGCAAGUCGAGCGAACAGACGAGGAGCUUGCUCCUCUGACGUUAGCGGCGGACGGGUGAGUAACACGUGGAUAACCUACCUAUAAGACUGGGAUAACUUCGGGAAACCGGAGCUAAUACCGGAUAAUAUAUUGAACCGCAUGGUUCAAUAGUGAAAGACGGUUUUGCUGUCACUUAUAGAUGGAUCGGCGCCGCAUUAGCUAGUUGGUAAGGUAACGGCUUACCAAGGCAACGAUGCGUAGCCGACCUGACAGGGUGAUAGGCCACACGGGAACUGAGACACGGUCCAGACUCCUACGGGAGGCAGCAGUAGGGAAUCUUCCGCAAUGGGCGAAAGCAUGACGGAGCAGCGCCGCGUGAAUGAUGAAGGUCUUCGGAUCGUAAAACUCUGUUAUUAGGGAAGAACAAAUGUGUAAGUAACUAUGCACGUCUUGACGGUACCUAAUCAGAAAGCCACGGCUAACUACGUG